rnacentral:rRNA from 1 species
UACGGAGGGUGCGAGCGUUGUCCGGAAUCACUGGGCGUAAAGGGCGCGUAGGUGGCUUGGCAAGCGUGUGGUGAAAGCCCGGGGCUCAACCCCGGGUCUGCCGUGCGAACUGCUAUGGCUUGAGCACUGUAGAGGCAGGUAGAAUUCCGGGUGUAGCGGUGGAAUGCGUAGAGAUCCGGAAGAAUACCGGUGGCGAAGGCGGCCUGCUGGGCAGUGGCUGACACUGAGGCGCGACAGCGUGGGUAGCAAACAGG